AGAGUUUGAUCCUGGCUCAGAUUGAACGCUGGCGGCAUGCCUUACACAUGCAAGUCGAACGGCAGCACGGGGGCAACCCUGGUGGCGAGUGGCGAACGGGUGAGUAAUACAUCGGAACGUGUCCUGUAGUGGGGGAUAGCCCGGCGAAAGCCGGAUUAAUACCGCAUACGACCUAAGGGGAGAAAGCGGGGGAUCUUCGGACCUCGCGCUAUAGGGGCGGCCGAUGGCAGAUUAGCUAGUUGGUGGGGUAAAGGCCUACCCAGGCCACCAUCUGUAGCUGGUUUGAGAGGACCACCAGCCACACUGGGACUGAGACACGGCCCAGACUCCUACGGGAGGCAGCAGUGGGGAAUUUUGGACAAUGGGGGAAACCCUGAUCCAGCAAUGCCGCGUGUGUGAAGAACGCCUUCGGGUUGUAAAGCACUUUUGUCCGGAAAGAAA
rnacentral:rRNA from 1 species